UGGGGAAUUUUGGACAAUGGGGGCAACCCUGAUCCAGCCAUGCCGCGUGAGUGAAGAAGGCCUUCGGGUUGUAAAGCUCUUUCGGCCGGGAAGAAAUCGCAUCAGCUAAUACCUGGUGUGGAUGACGGUACCGGAAUAAGAAGCACCGGCUAACUACGUGCCAGCAGCCGCGGUAAUACGUAGGGUGCGAGCGUUAAUCGGAAUUACUGGGCGUAAAGCGUGCGCAGGCGGUUGUGUAAGACAGGCGUGAAAUCCCCGGGCUCAACCUGGGAACUGCGCUUGUGACUGCACAGCUAGAGUACGGCAGAGGGGGGUGGAAUUCCACGUGUAGCAGUGAAAUGCGUAGAGAUGUGGAGGAACACCGAUGGCGAAGGCAGCCCCCUGGGCCGAUACUGACGCUCAUGCACGAAAGCGUGGGUAGCAAAC
rnacentral:rRNA from 1 species